UUGUAAAUUUCUCAUAUAAGUACAGUAUCUUUUGUAUUGUAGGAGGUCAAUUCAUAUUUGUUAUUAAAUUAUUUUGCUUGAAACUACUCUUGUAUAAUUAUAAAAUUCUCACAAUGUGCAUAUGAGUAGUUGAAAUACUCCAGGAUAAUUGUCUACCUUAUCUUUAUAUUAUCCCUAAUCAUAUUCAACAUUUUCAGUUGUCUUCCUAUACUAAAUAGGUAACCUGCACUUUAUCCCACUUUCUAUUAUUCGAGUAACUAAACUAGUAAGUUGGUGUGUGUUAUACCAGAUCCACAAUCUCUUUUAUUUGAUUUUUGUGUCAAGGGCUAAUAGUUCCUACUCAAUGUCCACUGUUCUCUUCUUUCUUACAGAUUUUAUCGGAGGAGGAAAUGUGCCUACAAAAAAACUGUAUUUCCUAGACUCCUCUCCAGAUGGAGAAACUGAUGCUCGGACAGUUUGGUACCUGAUCCAUGGUAACCCAACUGGGGUGUGGACUCAGGCCCUACUGGACCAUUGAUGGGAGAACCAAGAGGGAAGUACCAUUUUUGAUGUCCCUGGGAGAUUCUAAGAGUCAUCAUCUAAAUAACAGAGUCUAUUGUCAUUCCCUAAAAGUGCACCCCUGCACCUCCAGGCCUGUGCUGAAGCUGCUUCCCUCCCUGGAAGGCUGUUCACCACAUCAGCCCUGUGGAAUCAUCCCCUUCCCUCCCUCCGAGUCCAGCUCAAGCCCCGUCUCCUCUAAGCUGCAUCCCACAGACCCUUGCAGAACGAAUCAAGCUCCCUUCCCUUGUUCUGCAGCAGCAGUUCACCCUGUGCCUCCAGAAAGCAGGGGCCAAUCUUCACCUUUUGUCCUUACAAGUGCCCUGCAGAGUGCAUUGUACAGAGUAGGCAUUUACUGUACUUCCAUUAUUUUCCACAAUAAAAGUCUGUUAUUAAAUGAAAGCAUUUGACUCUCACUGUGUGUUUAUUGGUGUUGAAAUGUGUUACUUAGCCUCUUUGUCUUUGCUUUGUUGAGAAGGAUCUUCUCUCUGUCGUGAUGGGACAGUGAUGCCCAUGGGGGAUGCCACGGACUUUGAGGACCUCCUGUCCCAGCAAGCCUGGCCGCUGUGAUCCGCAGGCUUAUGUUGACAGUAGUGCAUUAGAUUUAGGCCCAUGGACUUUCUGGUUGUGCCCGAGGUAAG